CUGAGGAGUUUUAAGCAAUUCACCCAACUCGUGCAGUAGCUGACCCAGGUAGAAUUAAGGUUGAGAGGGCAGAGGCAAGGCCCCAGGGAGGCCAGUUUCAGCUCAAUGGGAGGAUUUUCUCAUUGUUACAGGAGCUGCUUUCGCCAGUAGUGAGCACCUUGUCCCUGGAGGUGUGUGUAUAAGUUGGGCUAAUUAUUGAGCAUGUCCUGCGUCGGGCACUGUGAUUCCUGGGGUAUCUUCCAGCCCCCUUAGGACACACAAGAACCAAAGUGGUCCCUGGGCACCAGUAACUCAGAGUCAGAAGGAGGUGAUGACAGGCGUGGUGGCUCAUCCCAGCUCAUCCCAGCACUCUGGGAGGCCGAAACAGGAGAAUUGCUCAAGUCCAGGAGUUCAAGACCAGCCUGGGCAACAUAGUGAGAGCCUGUCUCUACAAAAAAAAAAAAAAACUUUUUAAAAAAGGAAGUGAUGUGAUGGAGAGUUUGGAGGACUUCUUGUCCCCAGUGAGCUCGGAGCUGUGAGUCAGGGAACCUGGACCUGUGACUUGGUGAGGCCCCAGGGAUUGGGCCAACCACAGGUCUGGGGUACCUGGCCCUGGGGCUACUGCCUAGUCAUUUCUGACUUGAUUUUCCCAACUUUGCAGCCCGAGGAGGCAGAGAGAGUGAAGGCCCAGGCUCAGGCCUUGGGGCUGGCUGAAGCCCAGCCUAUGGCUGUGGUACAGUCAGUGCCCGGGGCACACCCUGUGCCAGUGUACGCCUUCUCCAUCAAAGGCCCUUCCUACGGAGAGGAUGUCUCCAAUACAACCACAGCCCAGAAGAGGAAGUGCAGCCAGACCCAGUGCCCCAGAAAGGUCAUCAAGAUGGAGUCUGAGGAGGGGAAGGAGGCAAGGUUGGCUCGGAGCUCCCCGGAGCAGCCCAGGCCCAGCACCUCCAAGGCAGUCUCACCACCCCACCUGGAUGGGCCACCUAACCCCAGGAGCCCCGUCAUAGGAAGUGAGGUCUUCCUGCCCAACAGCAACCACGUGGCCAGUGGCGCCGGGGAGGCAGAGGAGCGCAUUGUGGUGAUCAGCAGCUCGGAAGACUCAGAUGCCGAAAACUCGUCCUCCCGAGAACUGGAUGACAGCAGCAGUGAGUCCAGUGACCUCCAGCUGGAAGACCCCAGCACCCUCAGGGUCCUGGACGAGAACCUUGCUGACCCCCAAGCAGAAGACAGACCUCUGGUUUUCUUUGACCUCAAGAUUGACAAUGAAACCCAGAAGAUUAGCCAGCUGGCUGCAGUGAACCGGGAAAGCAAGUUCCGCGUGGUCAUCCAGCCCGAAGCCUUCUUCAGCAUCUACUCCAAGGCCGUGUCCCUGGAGGUGGGGCUGCAGCACUUCCUCAGCUUUCUGAGCUCCAUGCGCCGCCCUAUCUUGGCCUGCUACAAGCUUUGGGGGCCUGGUCUCCCGAACUUCUUCCGGGCCCUGGAGGACAUUAACAGGCUCUGGGAAUUCCAGGAGGCCAUCUCAGGCUUCCUCGCUGCCCUGCCCCUCAUGGGAGCGUGUGCCCGGGGCCAGCAGCUUCAAACUCAAGAACCUGGCCCAGACCUACCUGGCGAGAAACAUGAGUGAGCGCAGUGCCAUGGCUGCUGUGCUGGCCAUGCGUGACCUGUGCCGCCUCCUCGAGGUCUCCCCGGGCCCCCAGCUGGCCCAGCAUGUCUACCCCUUCAGUAGCCUGCAGUGCUUUGCCUCCCUGCAGCCCCUGGUGCAGGCAGCUGUGCUGCCCCGGGCCGAGGCCCGCCUCCUGGCCCUCCGCAAUGUGAGCUUCGUGGAGCUGCUGAGCGCACACCGCCGUGACCGGGGGGGUCUGAAGAAGUACAGCCGCUACCUAAGCCUGCAGACCACCGCAUUGCCCCCUGCCCAGCCUGCUUUCAACCUGCAGGCUCUGGGUACCUACUUUGAAGGCCUGUUGGAGGGUCCGGCGCUGGCACGGGCAGAAGGAGUCUCCACCCCUCUUGCUGGCCAUGGCUUGGCAGAGAGGGCCUCCCAGCAGAGCUGAGAGGAGGGGGUGACCAGCUUGGAGUCUCUAGUGGGCAGAGAGGGAUGGGGUG